AAAUAUGGGCAUAUGGCAACCGAGAGACAUGCCGGGAAAAUAUACACAAGAGCUAUGUUCGAGCAAUUCGGACACAUCCUUUAUGAGUGCAGUGCGUAUCAGGUGGAGGAGAUAGAGAAAGGUAAAAGAUAUGUUACCAUACAUACUGAUGCAGUGCGUAGAGAGAAGUGGUGCAGAACUUCAUACAAUGUCACAGUUAUUAAAGGAGGUGAAGAAUUUGAUUGUGAGUGUGGUCAGUUUGCACACAUGGGUCUGCUGUGCAGCCAUAUCCUAAAAGUACUUGACUUCAUUCGUGUCACCGAAAUACCAAAGAAGCACAUAGUUAAAAGGUGGACCAGAGAUGCAGGAGAUAUCCUGCCGGGACACCUGAUGCAAUAC
rnacentral:rRNA from 1 species